UCCCUGGUGGUCCAGUGGUUAAGACUCUGUACUUCCCCUGCAGGGGACACAGGUUCAAUCCCUGGUCUGGGAG
rnacentral:tRNA from 1 species